rnacentral:rRNA from 1 species
CAAAUCAGGUAGGACUACCCGCUGAACUUAAGCAUAUCAAUAAGCGGAGGAAAAGAAACUAACAAGGAUUCCCCUAGUAACUGCGAGUGAAGCGGGAAAAGCUCAAAUUUAAAAUCUGGCGGUCUCUGGCCGUCCGAGUUGUAAUCUAGAGAAGUGUUAUCCGCGCUGGACCGUGUACAAGUCUCCUGGAAUGGAGCGUCAUAGAGGGUGAGAAUCCCGUCUUUGACACGGACUGCCAGGGCUUUGUGAUGCGCUCUCAAAGAGUCGAGUUGUUUGGGAAUGCAGCUCCAAAUGGGUGGUAAAUUCCAUCUAAAGCUAAAUAUUGGCGAGAGACCGAUAGCGAACAAGUACCGUGAGGGAAAGAUGAAAAGAACUUUGGAAAGAGAGUUAAACAGUACGUGAAAUUGCUGAAAGGGAAACGCUUGAAGUCAGUCGCGUUGGCCGGGAAUCAACCUUGCUUUUGCUGGGCGUACUUUCCGGUCGACGGGUCAGCAUCAAUUUUGACCGUUGGAUAAAGUCUGGAGGAAUGUGGCAUCUUCGGGUGUGUUAUAGCCUCUGGUCGCAUACAACGGUUGGGAUUGAGGAACUCAGCACGCCGCAAGGCCGGGUACUCGUACCACGUUCGUGCUUAGGAUGCUGGCAUAAUGGCUUUAAUCGACCCGUCUUGAAACACGGACCAAGGAGUCUAACAUGCCUGCGAGUGUUUGGGUGGAAAACCCGAGCGCGUAAUGAAAGUGAAAGUUGAGAUCCCUGUCGUGGGGAGCAUCGACGCCCGGACCAGACCUUUUGUGACGGUUCCGCGGUAGAGCAUGUAUGUUGGGACCCGAAAGAUGGUGAACUAUGCCUGAAUAGGGUGAAGCCAGAGGAAACUCUGGUGGAGGCUCGUAGCGAUUCUGACGUGCAAAUCGAUCGUCAAAUUUGGGUAUAGGGGCGAAAGACUAAUCGAACCAUCUAGUAGCUGGUUCCUGCCGAAGUUUCCCUCAGGAU